rnacentral:sRNA from 1 species
GGCCUGUUGCGGGCAGAUGAAAUGGAUGUGGGCGUCGAUGGCGCCGGCAGUCAGAACCAUGCCUUCGCCGGCAAUCGCCUCGGUCGUGACGCCGACGACCAGGUUGGCACCGACACCGGGCAUGACGUCGGGGUUGCCGGCUUUGCCGAUGCCGCUGAUCCGCCCGCCUUUGAUGCCGACGUCGGCCUUGUAGAUUCCCGUAUGGUCGAUAAUCAGGGCGUUGGUGAUGACGACAUCCAAGGCGUCCUGCUGGCUGACUCCGGCAGCCUGGCCCAUGCCGUCGCGC